rnacentral:lncRNA from 1 species
CACCCUUUAUUUCAGCGGGAAAUCUGAAUGAAAUUGAUAGGCUACUCACUGUUACGGACCACUUUAUAGACUACGUAGAUUAUGAAUAUGGGACAAAAGAAUAAUAGAACAUCCACUAUUACAAAAUGUUACACACGAUGGUUUCACAAAAUAUGAUCAUAUCGAUGAGGAUUAAAAUAUUAAUCCAGUACCUGACACCAGCUCUACAAAUAUCGCUCUAUUGACAGAGACUGAAAAUUCUGCAUCUAUAUACCUUGAGGAUGUAUUGCUCGAGACAUAACACCUCAUUAUGAUUUCUGCCAGGAGACAAUGCCAAGUGAACCAUUAGAAGGAGUAAGCAAUAUCAACCAGCGAUUGAAUGGGUUUGUACAAAAAUUGAAUGGGCUGGUUGACUGAUAUUUAUUUCUUUUAUUGUUUCUAACACAAAAAAAAAUUCAGUAAAUGAAAGUACUUUCAAUGAUAAAAUCCAGUACACUAGAAAGUGCUUGGUGAUUUCAAAUCGGAAUAUUUUAAACACCCUAGUGAUUGCAGAGUUAUUAUCAAGUACUUGCAGAAACACAAUUGAGCAGCUAGAGUGUUAAGGCAAAAGGUUAUACGUCAUGAACGUCAUGCCUUAUCCAAGUUAAUUAAUUCAUGGCUCACAAAUAUCACACCUCUCACCUCCAGAGUUAAGGACAGCAUUACUUUAGUUGAAAAAAUAAAAACAUUGAUUAUUCCAGACAACUACACUUUAAUAUCGCUAGAUGUAAUAUCUCUUUUCACCAACGUUCCAACAGACCUUGCUAUGCACGCAGUAAACAACCGUUGGGUUUCUCUAGAAAAAAAGAUCCCGAUUCCACUUAGUGAACUAGAUAAAGCUUUAAAAAUUUGUUUUGAUUCGGCAAUCUUCAAAUUUAACAAUGACACGUAUGCACAACAAUUCGGGUUGCCCAUGGGAUCCCCUCUC